rnacentral:lncRNA from 1 species
AAUGUGAUCCCUGACUCUUACAUCAUCGGGUAUGGGCUCACUCAACAGCCCGCUCAUAGCAUCUACGCUCAAAGGACCCGCACGUACAGUCCUGCCUUUCAGCGCCCCAUUUGGAACUCCUAGCAAGGACCUGACAGCAAUCGGGGUAAUAUCAGCCGUACAAGGCACUGGUGCCCCUCUAAACUCCAUACUUGUGAUAAACCGCCUCCAUCGGUGUCAUCAUCACCUCAUAAUCCAGCAAAUAGAGUGACUGAGUCUGGUGAAACCAGCGCUCAGACAAUGCCCUGAGAUAACCCCAAGGACAACUACAGGGAAGGAUGGAAAAGAACGUCCCGAAUCCCCAGCCGUGU